rnacentral:rRNA from 1 species
UACGUAGGUGGCAAGCGUUGUCCGGAAUUAUUGGGCGUAAAGCGCGCGCAGGCGGUCCUUUAAGUCUGAUGUGAAAGCCCACGGCUCAACCGUGGAGGGUCAUUGGAAACUGGGGGACUUGAGUGCAGAAGAGGAAAGCGGAAUUCCACGUGUAGCGGUGAAAUGCGUAGAGAUGUGGAGGAACACCAGUGGCGAAGGCGGCUUUCUGGGCCGUAACUGACGCUGAGGAGCGAAAGCGUGGGGAGCGAACAGG